rnacentral:ncRNA from 1 species
AUUAAAGCAAUGACAGGGAGUAGUACAGUGUAAGUUGUUUCAAAGAGAGGAAAUCAUUUGCUGUGAGAUUUCUAUUCAACCCAUUGGAAGGUAGCCCUCGAGCUUCUUUUGCGAACGGUGUGCUUAUUAGUAAAAGACGGACAGUAUCCGAUAUCAUCUUUUAAAGAGCCAAUACCUAUUUUGUAUUGGAAAAAAGGUGGUACCGCGAACAAACUCCAUUCGUCCUUUUA